AUGCCGUGGUGUGGGCAUGCUGCGAUAUAUUCCUAGAGUCGAUCCCAAGCUUCCGGGAUGGUUUCAUCCUGGAGUUGUUGAAAAUUGGAAAUCCUAUUCCGAAGGGU